rnacentral:rRNA from 1 species
CCCUUCGGGGGCGAGUACAGCGGCGGACGGGUGAGUAACACGUGAGCGAUCCACCUCGAGGCGGGGGACAACCCAGGGAAACCUGGGCUAAUACCGCAUACAGCGGCAGGCAUGGAAGCCUGUCGUGAAAGCUGGCCUCUCCAUGGAAGCUAGCGCCUCUGGACGAGCUCGCGGCCUAUCAGCUGGUUGGUGAGGUAACGGCUCACCAAGGCGAUGACGGGUAGCUGGCGUGAGAGCGCGAUCAGCCACACUGGGACUGAGACACGGCCCAGACUCCUACGGGAGGCAGCAGUGGGGAAUCUUGCGCAAUGGGCGAAAGCCUGACGCAGCGACGCCGCGUGGGGGAGGAAGGCCCUAGGGUUGUAAACCCCUGUCAGGUGGGACGAACCGGGGAUCGGCGAAAGCCGGUUCCUCUGACGGUACCACCAGAGGAAGCUCCGGCUAACUCCGUGCCAGCAGCCGCGGUAAAACGGAGGGAGCAAGCGUUGUUCGGAAUUACUGGGCGUAAAGGGCGCGUAGGCGGCCCUGUAAGUCGCAUGUGAAAGGCCGGGGCUCAACCCCGAGUAUUGCAUGCGAUACUGCAAGGCUAGAGACAGGUAGGGGCGAGCGGAAUUCCCGGUGUAGCGGUGGAAUGCGUAGAUAUCGGGAAGAACACCGGUGGCGAAGGCGGCUCGCUGGGCCUGUUCUGACGCUGAAGCGCGAAAGCGUGGGGAGCGAACAGGA